AGGGAAGUAGCUCAGUGGCAGAGCACAAAACUUUCAUGUAUGGGUCCCGGGUUCAAUACCUGGCAUCUCAU
rnacentral:tRNA from 1 species